rnacentral:rRNA from 1 species
AUGAUGGCUAAUGGUGCAUCUCCAGAUUUCUUCAAAAUAGCUCUCGCUACUUACUCCAUUUUUCAUGCGGACAUAUGUUCUCGCUCUAAAAUAUUCUUAUAUAGAGAAUUACUGGAGAGUCUUAUUUUAAAUAUGUUCAGUUCUAUUAAUUAUGUCAUCAUAGGAAGAGUGACAUUAUUACUAGACACUAAUUUGCGUGUUAUUACGAUUAUCCGACUACAGAGAUUGGUUUUUGACACACCAUACUUAAUAAAUCUUCACAUGUUUUGCAUGACGCGUGUUGUUUUUCUUCUCCGAUGA